AGAGUUUGAUCCUGGCUCAGAUUGAACGCUGGCGGCAUGCCUAACACAUGCAAGUCGAACGGUAACAGGCCCUUCGGGGUGCUGACGAGUGGCGGACGGGUGAGUAAUGCGUAGGAAUCUGCCUAUUGGAGUGGGAUAGCCUAGGGAAACUUAGGGUAAUACCACGUAAGUCCUAAGGGAGAAAGCGGGGGACCGAAAGG
rnacentral:rRNA from 1 species